rnacentral:rRNA from 1 species
AUUGAACGCUGGCGGCAGGCCUAACACAUGCAAGUCGAGCGGAGCGGCGGACGGGGGAGUAAUGCCUAGGAAUCUGCCUGGUAGUGGGGGAUAAGGUCAGGAAACGGGAGCUAAUACCGCAUACUAUCAGAUGAGCCUAGGGCGGAUUAGCAAGUUGGUGGGGUAAAGGCCUACCAGGGCGACGAUCCGUAACUGGUCUGAGAGGAUGAUCAGUCACACUGGAACUGAGACACGGUCCAGACUCCUACGGGAGGCAGCUGUGGGGAAUAUUGGACACUGGGCGAAAGCCUGAUCCAGCCAUGCCGCGUGUGUGAAGAAGUUCUUCGGAUUGGAAAGCACUUGAAGUUGGGAGGCGUUACCAACAGAAUAAGCACCGGCUAACUUCGUGCCAGCAGCCGCGGUAAUAC